ACUUUUAAUGGAAAACAGGCAUCCGCUGGUUUUAGGAACCAAA
rnacentral:tRNA from 1 species